UACGUAGGGGGCAAGCGUUAUCCGGAUUUACUGGGUGUAAAGGGGGCGCAGACGGCAGCGCAAGCCAGGAGUGAAAGCCCGGGGCCCAACCCCGGGACUGCUCUUGGAACUGCGCGGCUGGAGUGCAGGAGGGGCAGGCGGAAUUCCUGGUGUAGCGGUGAAAUGCGUAGAUAUCAGGAGGAACACCGGUGGCGAAGGCGGCCUGCUGGACUGCGACUGACGUUGAGGCCCGAAAGCGUGGGGAGCAAACGGG
rnacentral:rRNA from 1 species